CUGAGGGGCAACCUGCUGGCUUGGUGCUGAGAACCCCUGAAAGACGAAUACUUUGAGAUAUAAAAGGAACAAACGCAAAACCCCUGAAUUUUGUCUCCUGCACGGAUGUCUGGGCUACAAAAUAUGUUACAAGAGCAUCUUCCUCUUCAGUGAAUCUUCUUUAAACCCGAGUUUUAUCUCAGGCAGGGAUGGAGCAAUCCCAUUGAUGUCACUGGGCUGAUGCUGGUGUAAAACUGGCAUGUGUGCCUGGUGAAAUAGGUCAGAGCUGGCUACUAGGAGGCACAGCUGCCGAGUCCACUGAUGAAAAGGAGCUUCUGCAGCUGAGCCACACUCCUCUCCAGGCUUGGCUUGGGACUGGCUUCCUCUAGCACCCCUCUCCAUCCAGGCAAGCAUUUUCCACAAGUCUUUGGCAGAAAAAUACCGGUUUUGUUAAGGCUCACAUCUUCUGUGGGUAAAAGCAAGAUGAAGAACUAUGUUCCUGGUGUUGUAAGGACUGCAUAUGUUUUUUUAUUUUGUUGAAUGGAAUAAAGCAGCUGAGGUAAAAGUUGUGACCACUGAUCAGCUGCUUGAUUUCACACCCUAUUUUUUGUACUGAAGUGCAAGAGAUUAUUAUUAUUCUAAUCCCAUGUGGGUACUUGAAUUCUUACAAAAGCUUUCCAUCAGAGAUGUGAAAUGAAGUGUUGUCCUUGGAGCCAUAUUAAUGCCCAAGCUGGGCCUACUCUGCCAUUACACAGAGCAUAAUUCUGUGCAGUCACUGUGCUGCUGGUGUCGAGCAUAUUGCUUUGGGAUUUCUGGGGUCAUGUAAGCUGCUAAUAAACAACACAUGUCUUUCCUACGGAUGGAUCCCUUCACUUCACACAACAGUGCCGGUGCAAUCCACCCCACACCCAUCACACCUCAUCUUUCACGGGAAGCAAAUAUUGAAAGAGAAAAAACCCCAACACACGAACCAUGAAAUAAGGAAGAAAGGAAAGUGACGUCCAAGGAACUUGGCAGAGCCCCGUGUGCCCCACGUGAGGAACUGGGCAGCUGACUUCCAGCAUCCCAGGUGAUGUAAUGUUGGUUUAAGGGCGUACACGCCUCUGUGUGCUGACGAGCAGAGCAGGCUGAGGCAAGUAGCUGCACAGACAGCUCUGGAAGCCGCUAGCAAGAAAUGCACCUUGGUGUGUGUUUGUGAAGUGGCCACCACACGCUCCCCCCGUGCCCCUUUGAUGCCGGGGAGGAAUGCUCUGCUUUCCGAACCAAAGGCACUCGGCUCUGCCUGCGGGCUGUGCGGAAAUUUGAGAAGGUGGGAAGCAAGAAGCAACUUGCUCGGUCGGGAAGGGAAAGCAGUCUGCAGCUAUUUACACUGCACGCUACAGCUCUUAAAGGAGGUGGCCGGCGUGCCUGCAGUGGUUAAAGCCCAGCUUUCUUUCUGCAGGGCUGCUCCUUGCCCCGCUGUGCUGCCCUCCUGCAGUUGGUUUUUGCCCCCAUGCGUUGCACCAGGCCGAUCCGAGGUGGUCUGGGCUCGGUGCCUCUCGCCUGAGAUCCCGCUGUGGUCUUUUCAGUCUUGCAAGGCACUGUGCUUUCGUUCCAGCGGUCUCUCCGAGGCGUGACGAGGGAAGUUCCUGUUUGUGUGUCUGUGAUGGACGUAACAGCCACUUUUACUACACGUGAGGCAUCGGGGCUUUUUGUUCCUUCCUUCUUUCUCCGACACUUUCUGGCAUUUGAGAUCCGAAGAGUCCCAUGAAAUAGUCUCUGCUGGCAGCAGCCAGUUAACCCUUCUGUGUUUCCUUCGGUGACUUGCAGCUCUGGAAUGCUUCUUCCCUUCUCAAGCACCAGAACAUUGCAGGCAGUAGCAGAUUUCAAGUACAGGACUGAGCUGAAAAAUGAUUAUAUACAAAUACAUAUGGCAAGAUCCUGCAGAAUUUAAGAAUAUUAAAUCAACAGCAGGCCAGGCAAAUUUAAUUGAAGUCUGCAGAGAUUAACUCAAGAAAGCAGUGCACCUGAAUAAAAAAGAACUACAAGUUUUAUGAAAUUACAAAAUAGUAUAUAUGACUUAUGGUGUGUUAGCAAAGCUAGGGUUGAACCAGUAUACAGUAAAAAAAAAAUAAAAUCACUUCUGGUCCUCAAUAAAGAAAAGAUUCUGCAGUUUA